AUGUCGGGAUCCGCAAGUACUACUAUUCAGAGUUCCCGUGGACUUUUCGUUCAGGCAAAUGAUAGCCUUCUUAAAAUUGCAUUUUGUUGUUGGUGUUUUAGGUUUCUAUUGCGUAGCAUCAGAUUAAUAUUGCCAAGCAUGAGCUGGCGGGGCAUAUGGAAGAUAUCCCAUGGGCCAGCAGCUGGAGCCUGGAAGCGGAUGUUAAUGCUCCAUAGCAGAGAGUUUAGGUUUACAGCAAGCAGCGACUACCAAAUUUUCCAUGCUCUUCUGUUUACAGUAGGAUAUAAACGGAGAUUGUCAUGGAGAUGGUUGCCAUCAGUUCCAUUUUGUUGCACAUCACAAGCCUGCCAUUUUAGAUGGGGAGAUGCAUUCAUGUGCUUGCUGUUGCGUGCCAGUAGCUUCGUUCAGUUGCUUCAGUGGGAUAAAGUUACUCGAUGUGGAUUUUGUUCUGUAAACGUUCAACAAAUUUGCCAGCGAGUAGUUUGA
rnacentral:rRNA from 1 species